rnacentral:rRNA from 1 species
UACGGGGGGGGCAAGCGUUGUUCGGAAUUACUGGGCGUAAAGGGCUCGUAGGUGGCCAACUAAGUCAGACGUGAAAUCCCUCGGCUUAACCGGGGAACUGCGUCUGAUACUGGAUGGCUUGAGUUCGGGAGAGGGAUGCGGAAUUCCAGGUGUAGCGGUGAAAUGCGUAGAUAUCAGGAGGAACACCGGUGGCGAAAGCGGCUCACUGGCCGGAAUCUGACACUGAGGUGCGAAAGCUAGGGUAGCAAACGGG